CCACCUCUUCCGCUCAAAAAAAAAAGAAAAAAAAAAGAAAAGAAAACCUCUUCGUUCUGCAGGCCGAUUCAUUCCUCCCCUCCCCUCCGGCCUCCCCCACCGCCGCCUCCGCCAACCACCGCCGGCCUCCGCCCUCGCCCUCGCCCCCACAGCUGGUGACCUCGUCUACCUCCCCUCUCCUCUCCCCUCCUCUCCUCUCCUUAUCAGAAGAGAAGAGAAGAGAAGAGAAAAGGGUGGUCGGGCGACCAUGCCAGAUGCGCCCACAACCGGCCGGCGACCACAGCACGUCAUCGUCAUCGUCAUCGUCGAAAACUCUUCUUCCACCUCCCUCCCAGAUUCAUGUGCUGCUCUCGGUAGGUAGGUGCACGCCAAACCCUAGCCGCAGCCCGCAGCGCUAGCUGUUGCUGUCAAAGUUUGCCCGGCACAAGCAGCUCCGCUACCAGGACACGGACGGACCGCUCAAAUCCAUGGAUUUCUUCGAUUCCGUUCAUGCUUGCCGGGGAAUGAAUUGAUUGGAUGCGAAAAUUGCAUUUUGCUGCAGGGGCAUGACGGAGUGAACCUCAUCGACUCGCCGCAUCUGGGAAGGUAUUAGGACGAGCAGCAGCAAAUCAGCCUGAUGAAGAAGCGCCUGACACCACACUGGGUGCAGGAGGCGAUGUUGAUUAAGCUGAUGGCACGAAGAAGGCUGUGACCACAACCUGGAUCUAUUGCUAUCGAUGGCAAACGGAGGCACCUCCCUCCCUCCCUUGUCUUUUACUAUUAUUUGUUGUUGUCGAUGUUCCGCCUGCAUGAAGGUUGCAAAUCAGUAAGCAGUGUGCUUGUGGAGUUGGGUUUGGACUGGAAUGUCCACCCAGCAGGUGCUGCUAGGACCCGAGGUUGAGUUAAGCUAGAUGUGUUGCUGUUCUUGCUGUUAUUGCAAGAUGAUGGCAUCCCAUAA